AUAAGUCAGCGGUGAAAGUUUGCAGCUUAACUGUAAAAAUGCCGUUGAAACUGUCGGACUUGAGUGUAAAUGAGGUAGGCGGAAUGCGUGGUGUAGCGGUGAAAUGCAUAGAUAUCACGCAGAACUCCGAUUGCGAAGGCAGCUUACUAAGCUACAACUGACACUGAAGCACGAAAGCGUGGGGAUCAAACAGGAUUAGAUACCCUGGUAGUCCACGCAGUAAACGAUGAUUACUAGCUGUUUGCGAUACACAGUAAGCGGCACAGCGAAAGCGUUAAGUAAUCCACCUGGGGAGUACGCCGGCAACGGUGAAACUCAAAGGAAUUGACGGGGGCCCGCACAAGCGGAGGAACAUGUGGUUUAAUUCGAUGAUACGCGAGGAACCUUACCCGGGUUUGAACGUAGGGAGACAGGGGUGGAAACAUCCUUUUCAGCAAUGACUGCCUACGAGGUGCUGCAUGGUUGUCGUCAGCUCGUGCCGUGAGGUGUCGGCUUAAGUGCCAUAACGAGCGCAACCCUUAUUUCCAGUUACUAACAGGUGAUGCUGAGGACUCUGGAGAGACUGCCAGCGUAAGCUGUGAGGAAGGUGGGGAUGACGUCAAAUCAGCACGGCCCUUACAUCCGGGGCGACACACGUGUUACAAUGGUAAGGACAAAGGGCAGCUACCGGGCGACCGGAUGCGAAUCUCUAAACCUUAUCUCAGUUCGGAUCGGAGUCUGCAACUCGACUCCGUGAAGCUGGAUUCGCUAGUAAUCGCGCAUCAGCCAUGGCGCGGUGAAUACGUUCCCGGGCCUUGUACUCACCGCCCG
rnacentral:rRNA from 1 species